CCUACGGGAGGCAGCAGUGGGGGAUAUUGCACAAUGGGGGGAACCCUGAUGCAGCGACGCCGCGUGGGUGAAGAAGCGCCUCGGCGCGUAAAGCCCUAUCAGCAGGGAAGAAAAUGACGGUACCUGACUAAGAAGCCCCGGCUAAAUACGUGCCAGCAGCCGCGGUAAUACGUAUGGGGCAAGCGUUAUCCGGAUUUACUGGGUGUAAAGGGAGCGCAGACGGCGUGGCAAGCCUGAUGUGAAAUACCGGGGCCCAACCCCGGGACUGCUCUUGGAACUGCCCGGCUGGAGUGCCGGAGCGGCAG
rnacentral:rRNA from 1 species